CAGCACCUCAAGUGGUCAGGAUGAUUAUUGGGCCUAAAGCAUCCGUAGCCGGCUCUGUAAGUUUUCGGUUAAAUCUGUAUGCUCAACAUACAGGCUGCCGGGAAUACUGCAGAGCUAGGGAGUGGGAGAGGUAGACGGUACUCGGUAGGAAGGGGUAAAAUCCUUUGAUCUAUUGAUGACCACCUGUGGCGAAGGCGGUCUACCAGAACACGUCCGACGGUGAGGGAUGAAAGCUGGGGGAGCAAACAGGAUUAGAUACCCGAGUAGUCC
rnacentral:rRNA from 1 species